GUUUUGCAGUAAGUCGUUCAGGAACGGAACGCAUCUUGGCUUUGUUAUCUACAGAGGCAGACAUACGCAUGUGAAUAGCAAACCUCCUUCUGAAAAUCGCUCAAUACCAAAACGAGCCUUUGCCUUGAAGACUGCUGAACACGCCAAAAUAUCUCUGCUGCGCUGCCAUGCGGGGACUGACGGUCGUGGCAUUCCUGUUCCUCGUCUUGUGCUGCGAUUCUUUUGGGAAAGUCGUCUCGUUUUAUGGCUUCAAAGAAUCCACCAAAAGCGGAGGAGGACAGCCGCCUGGCGAUGUGACUGACAUUUUGAGAGAGAUUACAUCCCUGCUGGAGGAGGGUCCCGUUGACAAGGCCUUCAUGUCGCCUCUUCAUUUCUAUCCCAUGCUAAGAGCCCGGAUGCGCAGCCUGCCUGCCAGUGACGCCGACGAAAAGAAAGGCUCCACCUACAACUGGAAUUCGUUUGGGUUGCGUUUUGGGAAGAGAGAAUUGGAUUUAAUGAAUUUAAGCAAAUUAUUGAUUAUUUUUACGAAGCGACAGUAACCUAUUACUGGCAACAUGAGAAGCAGAGACGUCAUACGAAAUGAGUCUUCUGAGAAAUUGUCCGCUUAUCUAUGUGCUUCUAUAUCAAAGCUCGCAUGGCAAAAUUGUGACAGGUGUGACGUCCUAAGUAAACAGUGGCUUUAUUGCCAGGUAACAUUCACCAUCAAUACCACGACAGAUGGAAACAUUGUGACGUCGUGUAGGAAAAUAAAAUUAACACUUGUUUGCAGUAUUGUACGUUGUGAUGUUUGCAAUAAAAUUACUGUGAUUAAACUACAUUGUUGGGAAACACAUUUUCAACUGGCAUCAGGCAUAAAUAUCCACUGCUGGAUGAAGGUUUCAAGACACCACCAUCCCUCAAUGUCAAGAUACAACAAUCCAUCUCGCACCUGCG